GCUAAGGGACGGAGCUUAGUGGUAGAACAUUUGACUUGCAUGCAGAAGGUUGUAGGUUCAAUCCCUGGCAUCCCCCAGUA